rnacentral:rRNA from 1 species
UACGGAGGCAGCAGUGGGGAAUAUUGGACAAUGGGGGCAACCCUGAUCCAGCAAUUCUGUGUGCACGAUGAAGGUCUUCGGAUUGUAAAGUGCUUUCAGCAGGGAAGAAAAAAAUGACGGUACCUGCAGAAGAAGCGACGGCUAAAUACGUGCCAGCAGCCGCGGUAAU